AUUGAACGCUAGCGGGAUGCCUUACACAUGCAAGUCGAACGGAGUGGCGAACGGGUGAGUAAUGUAUCGGAACGUGCCCAGUAGCGGGGGAUAACUACGCGAAAGCGAAGCUAAUACCGCAGACUAUUGGCGCGGCCGAUAGCGGAUUAGGUAGUUGGGGGGGUAACGGCUCACCAAGGCGAAGAUCCGUAGCUGGUUUAGGAGGACGACCAGCCACACGUGGACUGAGACACGGCCGAGACUCCUACGGGAGGCAGCAGUAGGGAAUUUUGGACAAUGGGGGAAACCCUGAUCCAGCCAUGCCGCGUGUGCGAUGAAGGCCUUCGGGUUGUAAAGCACUUUUGGCAGGAAAGCGGUACCUGCAGAAUAAGCACCGGCUAACUACGUGCCAGCAGCCGCGGUAAUUC
rnacentral:rRNA from 1 species